rnacentral:rRNA from 1 species
UUUUGAUGUUAAUUUUUUGGCCUGAGUAGUACUAGUUAUGUUCUUGAAACUUAAAGAAUUUGGCGGUAUUUCAUUCUGUUCAGAGGAAUCUGCCUCGUUAUCGAUAAUCCACGUUGGACCUUACUUGGUUUAAUUUGUUUGUAUACCGCCGUUAUAAUGAAGAUCUUUUUAGAGUUUAUUUUAAUUUUCUUCUUUCACAACUUUGGUUUAUUUCAGGUCAAGGUGCAGCUUAUGGUCAAGUGUUUGGUGGAUUACAUUUAUGGAUUUAUUAUCGGAUCACUGGUUGUAAUUUUGGUGUGAAGUUGGAUUUGAUUGUAACUGAUUGAAGUUUGUUUUGGUGAUUUAUGUUUUGUAAUAUGC